CUAGCUGAAAAAAAAAGAAAGAAAAAUAUAUUCCUAAUUCAGUAGUUCUUUUUUUUUACAUUUAAUUCUACUAUUUAUUUUUAUUACUUAAUUAAAUAAUAUUAAUUGUCGUCCAUAAUCGAUAGUUUCUUAAAUUACCAAGGAUGAACAAUAUUUCGGAAAAAUAUACCAUGGAAAAUAAACAAAGGCAUAAUAAUGAUGAGACAACUACUGUACCCCAACAAUCUACAGGGAAUGUACGAAAUAAUGUUAAAGUCACAGAGAAUACAUCUUUAUCGCCAAAUAAUAAUCAAACCUAUUUCGCUGAUGAAAGAGUACAAAUUCCUGAAAUAGAAGGUACUGGUUUUAACUUCAGAAAAUUAUGGGCUUUUACAGGCCCUGGAUUUUUAAUGUCAAUCGCAUAUUUAGAUCCUGGUAACAUAGAAUCUGAUUUGCAGUCCGGUUCAAAAGCUAAUUAUAAGUUAUUAUGGGUUCUAUUGGGUGCCACAAUAUUGGGACUUAUUAUGCAAAGGCUCAGCGCACGCCUAGGUGUAGUUACUGGAUUACAUUUAGCAGAAAUGUGUUAUAGACAGUACAAAAAAGUACCUCGACUUAUUUUAUGGAUAAUGAUAGAAAUAGCUAUUAUAGGUAGUGAUAUGCAAGAAGUAAUAGGGACAGCUAUUGCCUUAUAUUUAUUAACAUCUGGAAGACUUCCUUUAUGGGGUGGUGUACUUAUUACAAUAAUAGAUACAUUUACAUUUCUAUUUUUGGAUAAAUAUGGUUUACGAAAAUUGGAAUUUUUCUUUGGAUUGUUAAUUACAAUUAUGGGAAUUACUUUCGGUUUUGAGUAUAUCAUUUCAAAACCACCACAAGUUGAAGUUAUAAAAGGAAUGUUUAUACCAUGGAAUAUGGAAUAUGAUAGUAAAAUAUUGCUUCAAGCUGUAGGAAUUAUUGGUGCUGUUAUUAUGCCACAUAAUUUAUAUCUUCAUAGUGCUCUUGUGAAAUCAAGAGAUAUAGACCGAAGACAAUCUGCCAAAGUUAAAGAUGCAAAUAUGUAUUAUUUUAUUGAAGCAAGUAUUGCACUUCUUGUUUCCUUCAUUAUUAAUGUAUUUGUGGUUUCUGUUUUUGCACAUGGUCUCUACAAUAAAACCAAUGAAGAUAUUUAUGAUACCUGUAAAGCAAGUCAAAUCGACAUAGAUAGUAACUUAUUACCUAGAAACAAUAUGACAUUUGAAGCAGACUUAUAUAAGGGUGGUAUAUUUCUUGGUUGUUCAUUCGGGAUGGCAGCGAUGUAUAUUUGGGCUGUUGGUAUCUUAGCUGCUGGUCAAUCUUCUACAAUGACUGGAACUUAUGCAGGACAAUUUGCAAUGGAAGGAUUUUUAAACUUACAAUGGGCUCGAUGGAAGCGAGUACUUUUUACUCGGACGAUUGCUAUCGUCCCAACAUUUUUAGUAGCAUUCUAUGCUAAUAUAGAAGACAUGAGUGGCAUGAAUGAUAUUUUAAAUGCUAUUAUGAGUCUGCAAUUACCCUUUGCUACUUUACCAACAGUAGCCUUUACUAGUAAUCCACAAAUAAUGGGAGAAUUUACAAAUGGAAUACCAAAUAAGAUCGUUGCCACUCUUAUAUCUGCAUUAGUAAUAACAAUAAAUAUUUAUUUUGUAAUAAAUACUGUAGAUGAGGUUCCUCAUGAUUGGCCAGUAUGGCUUGGUAUUGCUAUAUUUGCAGUUUUAUAUUUAGCUUUUUGUAUAUAUUUAAUAAUUCAUAUGGCAGUAAAUAUGGGUGCUGGAACUAUCAAUAAUCAUUGGUUCAUUGCAAAAUAUAUUUGUGGUCCCGUGGAUACAAACUUUGGUCUAUCUAAUCCUGCUAUAUACGCAAGUUUCUUCAAUACGUCGGAAACAUCAUUAAGUACCUAGUUCAAGCGUAAUCAACUGUAUGCAAUGCAACGAUUGAUAUAUGUUUCAUAUUCAUCAAAUAUGAAUAUCAUUUCGAAAACUAUGCUUUUAUUAUUGUGAUAUCAGCAUGGCAUUGUCAAUGUAUGGGUUUGCAGCGUUGAUUUUAUUGUCUAGUUACGAUGAUAAAGGUCAAAUCCAACAUUCACAAUAAAAGAAGAAUUAAAUGAAAGCUUUGUAUCUAUACCACAUUUCUGGUAAUUAUUAAUAAUAAAUACUAUUAUAUAACAAA